UAGGGAAUCUUCCGCAAUGGACGCAAGUCUGACGGAGCAACGCCGCGUGAGUGAAGAAGGAUUUCGGUUCGUAAAACUCUGUUGUUAGAGAAGAACAGCGCAUAGAGUAACUGUUAUGCGUGUGACGGUAUCUAACCAGAAAGCCACGGCUAACUACGUGCCAGCAGCCGCGGUAAUACGUAGGUGGCAAGCGUUGUCCGGAUUUAUUGGGCGUAAAGCGAGCGCAGGCGGUCAAUUAAGUCUGAUGUGAAAGCCCCCGGCUCAACCGGGGAGGGUCAUUUGAAACUGGUUUACUUGAGUGCAGAAGAGGAGAGUGGAAUUCCAUGUGUAGCGGUGAAAUGCGUAGAUAUAUGGAGGAACACCAGUGGCGAAGGCGACUCUCUGGUCUGUAACUGACGCUGAGGCUCGAAAGCGUGGGUAGCAAACAGG
rnacentral:rRNA from 1 species